rnacentral:lncRNA from 8 species
CUAACUGCAUUUACUGUGGAGGCUACUCUGUCAACAAUGCCUGUAUGUUAACCUAAACCAUUUAGUGAAACCACAAGAUAAAUCUAUUAAAACAGUAGUGUUUUAGACUUCUCUAUAGAACUAAUGGGCACUCCUUUUAGUCAAAUGUAUUUGUACGUAUAUUGGGGAAAACUCACCAUUAGCUGAAUCUAAAAUCACAAUCUGAUUAAGUACAUAACUUAUUUCCUGGUGUAAGUUGAUCCAAUUGGAUUGCUUGCAUAUCAUUAAAUGGAGAAUUCGAACAACAAAAAACAUUGUUUAGAAUGUUUUUCUCCACUCACUAAAGGUUUUGUGUGGAUAGAAGGUGUUUGUUUUCAGGGUAUAUUUGUAUGUAAUGAAUUGCUUAUGUUUUUGUGGUGUCUACCUUGUGUGUAUUUAUUUAUCUACAGUAUUUCUGUGUGUGCUGCUGGUAUUGCAAGGCAGUCAGCAGCCUCACAGUGGACUGGAGAGGGGUGGACUACAUGAAGAGUGGGGCUCACUCAGGACUGGCCUGUUCAAGUAGGGAGGCAGGACCGGGACUGAGACCACCUUACACUGCUCAGCCCCCCCCACCCACCCUAACCAUCAUACCCCCCACCAGCACCCCUCCUCCACUCCCGACACACUCACACUCUCCCUUGCCCUGUGCCUGUCUCUCUCCAUUCUACCAAGCAGCCAGCCAGACCUCUCUUCUGCCCUGUCGACAUCCCUCGAGUGUUCCACGCCUUUCUCCCUCAGCCUCCUCAGCCGUGCUCGUCUGCCCUCGCCUCCGCUGACGGUCCAAGUCUAUCUACAACUGCAACAAGUUCCCUGGGACUUUUUCAGAAACUCUUUCCUCAAUACCUUUUUUUCUUUUUGCUACCUCCCUUGAGACGCCAGUGCGGGUUGUGCUGUGUGAUAGGGUCUAGUGUUGCUCUUCGCCUUCGGGGUCUCUGUACGCUGUUGACCAGAGGAGAAGACUACUUGUCACCAUGAUCAAAGUUCAGCUGCUGCUCUUGCUGGGCCUGGUCGGCCCCUUCUGUGCCGUCGCACGCGCAAGCACACUGGUGACACCAUUAGACAGGGUGUCAGAUACCCCUGCUGCCACCGAUACCCUCGAAGAAGGCGCCACCGAUGCCCCCAAGACUGCGGCCGAUGAGGUCGUAACGAAAGCCCCUGCCACCGAUAAACCCGUCACUACUCAGGCCGAUGAGGCUGCCCCGAAGGUGACAGAGGCCGCUUCCACGGAGACCGAGGCCACUGAGGCUGCCGAGCAGGAGGCGGCUACAACGGAGGCCCCUGCUGUCGCCACCACGGCCCCGGCAUAUCCCAAAGCCACGGCAGCUGCAGAGGCUGAGGAGGAGUUGGUGGUGGAGGAGGAGGGCACUGGCUCUGGACAAGUGGUGGGUAUUGUGAUUGGCGCAUUGGUGGCAGUGAUCAUUGUCAUCGCCGUGGUGAUCGCCUUGGUGAGGAGAAUGGGCAAAUACUCCCCCUGAGGAGAAAGGCUGCCAGACAGGAAGUCCCCAAAAUGUUCUGGCAAUUCUGAACUGCUGAACUACGUAAUUUCCUGUCAUUAAACAAGCAUGCUACCAGCACUAACCUAACCAAGAUCUUGUACUGUUGCCAAAAGGAGGGGGAGGUGUGGGGGGAGAAGAAUGUUUCUCUCCCAACCCCCAGACAGAGCCAUUGAUAUCAAUGGUCCUGCCCAACCACACAACAACCCUCCACACCGAUAACCAAACGGGGGGGGGGGGGGGUGACCCCUCACUGACAUCCACAGUGACCCACAGGAUGUCAGUAAAUUUCAGGAUUUUUCAUGUGUUUGUAAAAAGAAAGGAAGUAAGGGAUUAUUUAACUUGUGGUAGAAAACGCUCUCUUAUGCAGUGGUGUGUACAUUAAUUCCAAUUUGCAUUUGAGUUGAAGACGACCUAAAAACACGACACAAAAGAAACAGAAAAUAAAUAUAAAAAUAAAAAGUUGAAUACAGAAGGGGAAAAAAGGCGGAAGAAAAUGUGGUGAAUUUAAUAGGGUGUAUAUACCAUGCAAAGGGACUACAGUUAUUACUUGAUUAUAUGUUGCAGUUGCUCACUAUAGCAUUCAGUUAAUGGAACAUUGCAAAGCAGCCAAAAACAUCCACAUAGUAUUUUCUCACCUUAACACCUAGCCAAUGAGUCCCUACCUACCAAAAUGUUCAACAACUAUAUGAAGCACUGUAUGCAGAAGUUGUUUCGACAUUGUGCUCAUGUUCUGAGGGUUAGCGAGGGGCUAAUGAAAAGACGCCUCAUUUGCAAGUGUAACGUGACAUUCGCCAGCUUUAACACUGACAUAUAAAAACCUAAUACAGAUCUGUGAAAUUUUGCAGAAGGGUUUGUGCCACUGUCUCUGGUAUUCCCUGGAUAGUUUGGAGAUUUUACUUUUGAAGUGCAUUAAUGUGAAUUAAGUACUUUAACUGUCACCCAUUCCAAUAGGACAGCUUUGACGACUUCAGGUUUUCACAAAAUCAUGUGUUACAUAUACAGGUAGAAGUCAUCAGCCCCCAUUCUGCUAGCAUUGUCCUUUACAAUGUAUUCACUGUACUUCUGCUUACUUUAGUUUGGAUGGAGUAUACCAAGCAAACACACACAAUCUUUAAAUACAGGUUCCCCCCUGAAUGCAUACAAAGGAUGUUUUGACUUCCAUGAUUGCACCCAGUUUUAGGCACAUUUUCUUCAUAAUCGUUAGUGGAUAAUGGGUGUAAACAUUAUUCAGUCUCAGCUUAGCUCCGCUUGCUUUAAGAACUCCGUUAAUAAGUGCACUGAAUGAGUGAUGACAAUUGUUUAAUGGAUGCGCUUUAGACACUGCAAUCGUUUGCAACGAUGUUUGUUUCUGCUUUUGCUCCAUAUUAUCAAAUCUAGGUCUUUCAUUUUACUUGUCAGAUUUUUUUUUUGUCCUUUUAUUUAAUUGCAGUGUUUUUGUUCAUACUGUUUCAAUAAACAAGUGAAAACACUCCAAAUAUACACUGGCUUGAGACAUGUUUUUAUUUAUGUGUGUUGGUAGAAUUCAGACAUUGUAUUGUCUUUGUUGCUCCAUUGUUUUUUAGCUGUUGCUUAUCAAAUCAAGUUUCCAUGACACUGUCUAAAGUCAGAUUCAAGUAAUUUCCCCCAAAAUCUUGACAAGCCAAACAAGAGGUGCUGACACAGGAAGUAAUUAAUUAGCUCAUGACUGCUUUUUACACCGAACUGUUUCCCCACAAUCUUUAGUGUAAAAUUAGCACACACCACUACCCAGCAUGCACUGGGGUAGAAGUCAGUGGCGAAAGCUGAUUGCUCCAGUCAGGUAAUGCACAAAAUUUCAACACCCCUCCACUGAAUCAAGACAAACUACGGCCAAAUGCGGUCCUGUAUGGACUGCCUGAGACUGCUGAGUCCGUUAACUCUCUCCGGCUGGGGUGUUUCUCUGACAGUUACGUGUGUUUUUUUUAUGUUGUGGCGUUUUUCGUACGGCACUGUUAACCUGGGGCAGCUCUCCAACAGUGAGCUGUGAG